AGAGUUUGAUCAUGGCUCAGAACGAACGCUGGCGGCAGGCCUAACACAUGCAAGUCGAGCGCUUCACUUCGGUGAGGAGCGGCGGACGGGUUAGUAACGCGUGGGAAUAUACCCAGUUCUAAGGGAUAGCGACUGGAAACGGUGAGUAAUACCUUAUACGCCCUUCGGGGGAAAGAUUUAUCGGAAUUGGAUUAGCCCGCGUUAGAUUAGAUAGUUGGUGAGGUAACGGCUCACCAAGUCUACGAUCUAUAGCUGGUUUGAGAGGAUGAUCAGCAACACUGGGACUGAGACACGGCCCAGACUCCUACGGGAGGCAGCAGUGGGGAAUCUUGGACAAUGGGCGCAAGCCUGAUCCAGCCAUGCCGCGUGAGUGAUGAAGGCCUUAGGGUCGUAAAACUCUUUCGCCAGGGAUGAUAAUGACAGUACCUGGUAAAGAAACCCCGGCUAACUCCGUGCCAGCAGCCGCGGUAAUACGGAGGGGGUUAGCGUUGUUCGGAAUUACUGGGCGUAAAGCGUACGUAGGCGGAUUAGAAAGUUAGGGGUGAAAUCCCAGGGCUCAACCCUGGAACUGCCUUUAAAACUCCUAGUCUAGAGGUCGAGAGAGGUGAGUGGAAUUCCAAGUGUAGAGGUGAAAUUCGUAGAUAUUUGGAGGAACACCAGAGGCGAAAGCGGCUCACUGGCUCGAUACUGACGCUGAGGUACGAAAGUGUGGGGAGCAAACAGGAUUAGAUACCCUGGUAGUCCACACCGUAAACGAUGAAUGCCAGACGUCAGCAAGCAUGCUUGUUGGUGUCACACCUAACGGAUUAAGCAUUCCGCCUGGGGAGUACGGUCGCAAGAUUAAAACUCAAGAAAUUGACGGGGCCCGCACAGCGGU
rnacentral:rRNA from 1 species